rnacentral:rRNA from 1 species
UACGGGGGGGGCAAGCGUUGUUCGGAAUUACUGGGCGUAAAGGGCUCGUAGGCGGCCAACUAAGUCGGACGUGAAAUCCCUCGGCUUAACCGGGGAACUGCGUCCGAUACUGGAUGGCUUGAGUUCGGGAGAGGGAUGCGGAAUUCCAGGUGUAGCGGUGAAAUGCUUAGAGAUUACAUGGAAUACCAAUUGCGAAGGCAGGUUACUACUAAUGGAUUGACGCUGAUGGACGAAAGCGUGGGGAGCGAACAGG